rnacentral:lncRNA from 1 species
GAAGAAGAACAUAGCGUUUUGAAUGACGAACAGAACGGUUUUCGUAAGGGCCGAAGCACGAUUGACCAUAUUUCAACACUGACUUCAAUCAUCGAGUGCAGAAAAUUAAAACGAAUGUCUACGUACGCCGCGUUUAUAGACUUUAAGAAAGCGUAUGAUUCUAUCAACAGGCAACUUUUAUUCACUAAAUUAAAAGACCUUGGUAUAAACGGGACUAUGUUAAACGCUCUACGAUCUUUAUACAGUGAUGUUCGAAGCUGUGUGCGUGUAAAUGGAUUUUCUACAGACUGGUUUUCAGUAAAUUGCGGAUUAAAACAAGGAUGUUUAUUAUCUCCCUUGAUGUUCAAUUUCUAUAUUAACGAUUUCGUAAACUUAGUCAAAACUCUUGAUGUUGGUAUCAAUAUAGAUGGAGAAACAAUUGGAAUUCUGUUAUACGCAGA